CCAACAAGUGGUAUCAGAGCCUUGUCGAUCCGAGGCGCGGCCGUGACGCGCGGUUAGUCCGCGACGAGCAUGGCGGACGCGGAGGCGGCAAGGUGACGCCGUAUGUGCGGCGAGCGCGGCGACCGCGGCGGACCUGCGUGGUGGCGCAGAGGCCGCGGUGGCGCGGCAUGGCGGCGGCGUGGAGGAGCUGCGCGGCCACGGAGGCCGUAGCGGCGCCAUGCGACGGCCGUGGAAGCGGUGACCGGCGUGAGCACGCCCAGGUCGAGCAGGCGGAGGCUCGGCUCCAUGGCCGGGUGUGAUGUGCUCACCGGCGCCCAGGUCUCGCGGAUGAGGAACGGCUCACGAUCGAGGAAGGUCUCGCGGAUGAGGAACGGCUCACGAUCGAGGAAAAAUCGGAUCUCCAUGGCGCGCGUGCGUGCGCGUGGUGAUCGUGGCGUAUGUCGCCGGAACGUCGGGCGUGUGUCGCCGGCGGAGAAGGAGCUCGGCGUGUGUCGCUGAGUAAGAAGAUGAAGACGACGGCAGCUGCAGCAACUCCGGCAAUGGCAAGUCAAGAUUAGGGGGGAAAAUGUUAGCCAUAAUCUUGACUUUAGGCACGGAACGUGGCUUGGCUGAUC